UCGAAACCUGCCCAGCAGNGCGACCCGCGAACAAGUGAAAAACAAACCCGGACGGACCGAAGAGGGGCGCAUGCCCCGAUCGCUCGCCCGUCGGACCACGGCCUCUUCUGCGACCGCACUGAUCUGCGGGCGGAGGGGUGGGUUGUUGUGUCCGCACAAAACCAAAAACCGGCGCGACAGGCGCCAAGGAAAUCUUAGCGGAAAAGGAGGGUUGCCCCGUCCGCGGAGGCAGCCUUCAAAAUCCGAUACU
rnacentral:misc_RNA from 1 species